AAAAGGAAACUUUUUUUUUUUCUCCUCCUCUCUCUCUCGCUCUCUAUUUCUUUUCUUUUUUUUUCUCUGCAAUCAUCAAAGACCCUGCUUGUUUGGGUGCUGAUUGAUCACUAGAAGAUGACAGACGCUAACACAUCUAGAUUCAGCAGGAAGGAAAGAGAAAAAGCAAGAUGGGGAAGUGCAGCUUCUCCACAAUGCUGGUCCGAUGAAAGCAGAAGAGCGCUAUCGAUCGGGUUCUGGGGGAGGAUGACCUGCGGUGGAAGUGAGGCUGAGCUGCUGAAGAGUGAAAGGAGAACUGGAAGGGUUCUUAGGACCUCUGAGGGCAGAUGAGGAGUAUGGUUAUCAUGGCAGGGAUGUAUUCAAGCUAUGCAGGUGAACAUUUGGCUAUCACUGACCGAAUGAAAGUCAUGACAUUAUCUGUGAGUACUUUUAAAUAAGUCACAAGUACAGACCAUGUUUGCAUAAUGUGAUGUCAUGCAUAUAGUAAUGGUAGAAUUAGACAAUAAUAGUCCUAGCGUCCUUGAAAACAAAACUGGUGUUUGGUAUGCAUGUAUAAUACCGUUCAAUAGUCAGUAUAGGAUAUUUAUAUAUCAGUAAGUAUGUAUUAAAUUGAUUAAAAGU